UUACGGCCACAUCACGUUGAAUCAUCCGAUACCAGUACGAUCACAGAAGUUAAACAACGUCGAUCCUGGUCAGUAAGUAGAUGGGUGACCGCUUGGGAAUACCAGGGGAUGUA